rnacentral:rRNA from 1 species
AACGAACGCUGGCGGCAGGCUUAACACAUGCAGGUCGAACGCCCCGCAAGGGGAGUGGCAGACGGGUGAGUAACGCGUGGGAACAUACCCUUUCCUGCGGAAUAGCUCUGGGAAACUGGAAUUAAUACCGCAUACGCCCUACGGGGGAAAGAUUUAUCGGGGAAGGAUUGGCCCGCGUUGGAUUAGCUAGUUGGUGGGGUAAAGGCCUACCAAGGCGACGAUCCAUAGCUGGUCUGAGAGGAUGAUCUGCCACAUUGGGACUGAGACACGGCCCAAACUCCUACGGGAGGCAGCAGUGUGGAAUAUUGGACAAUGGGCGCAAGCCUGAUCCAGCCAUGCCGCGUGAGUGAUGAAGGCCUUAGGGUUGUAAAGCUCUUUCACCGAUGAAGAUAAUGACGGUAGUCGGAGAAGAAGCCCCGGCUAACUUCGUGCCAGCCGCCGCCGUAAUAC